ACUCUAUUGCAGUAGGCAGUGCAUCAGUCUUAUAAGUUGAAGGUCCUGAGUUCGAUUCUCAGAAGGAGGG
rnacentral:tRNA from 1 species